rnacentral:rRNA from 1 species
UACGUAGGGUGCAAGCGUUGUCCGGAAUUAUUGGGCGUAAAGAGCUCGUAGGCGGUCUGUCGCGUCUGCUGUGAAAACCUAGGGCUUAACUCUGGGCGUGCAGUAGGUACGGGCAGGCUAGAGUGCGGUAGGGGAGACUGGAAUUCCUGGUGUAGCGGUGAAAUGCGCAGAUAUCAGGAGGAACACCGGUGGCGAAGGCGGGUCUCUGGGCAGUAACUGACGCUGAGGAGCGAAAGCGUGGGGAGCGAACAGG